rnacentral:rRNA from 1 species
UUGGUCAUUUAGAGGAAGUAAAAGUCGUAACAAGGUCUCCGUAGGUGAACCUGCGGAGGGAUCAUUAUCGAGCGAGGGUUAACAUGCCCGACCUCCAACCCUUUGAAGUUACCAACUCUGUUGCCUCGGGGGUGACCCGGCCGUCCGCGUCGGGGCUCCCAGAGGGCCUGUCAACACUCGCGUUUUAUGCGUCGGAGUUUGUAUCAAAUUUGAAUCAAAACUUUCAACAACGGAUCUCUUGGUUCCGGCAUCGAUGAAGAACGCAGCGAAAUGCGAUAAGUAAUGUGAAUUGCAGAAUUCAGUGAAUCAUCGAAUCUUUGAACGCACAUUGCGCCCUCUGGCAUUCCGGGGGGCAUGCCCGUUCGAGCGUCAUAUAACAAAACUCAGGCUGAGGAUUGGCGGUGCCUCUCCUCUCGUUCGCCUGGUACUGGGCAAGUCGGUUCAAUUCCGGGCCCUAAAUUCGUUGGCUAUAAACUAGUAAAUGGGGAGUGCUGUAGCAUGGCGCCGGUCUAGUAUCGACAAAUAUUUGCCGGGCGCGGAGUUUGUAGGCCCCUGCCUUGCGCGUUCGCAUCGGUGACUCGGACCGAACACAAGUUUGACCUCGGAUCGGGUAGGGAUACCCGCUGAACUUAAGCAUAUCAAUAAGCGGAGGAA